rnacentral:sRNA from 1 species
UUACGUCACUUCCUCUCCAGCCCCUGCGUAAUCGAUAAGGAAACCCGGACGCUGCUGCAGCUUUCUUUUUUUCAGGCGGCCGGGAAGAUGGCGGACAUUCAGACUGAGCGUGCCUACCAAAAGCAGCCGACCAUCUUUCAAAACAAGAAGAGGGUCCUGCUGGGAGAAACUGGCAAGGAGAAGCUCCCGCGGUACUACAAGAACAUCGGUCUGGGCUUCAAGACACCCAAGGAGGUGCGGGGGAACCUCAGAAGAAAGAAGGGGACCGUGGCGUUCCUGCACGUGUGCCCACGACGAGUUGCCCUGCCUGCAUCUAAGUGGCUUCUGGGGCUGCUGGGAAUUGUAGUUGCUUCCCUGAGGCCACGCCCCUGGCUCUUUUAAGGAACCGCCCGCCCAAGGCUCACUCCUUUAUCUUUCCUAUCCUUUCAGGCUAUUGAGGGCACCUACAUUGACAAGAAAUGCCCCUUCACUGGUAAUGUGUCCAUUCGAGGGCGGAUCCUCUCUGGUAAGUGCGGGGGUUACUGGUGUCUGGGGCCUGAAAUACUGAAAGAAGGGUCUUGGGGCCCAGACUCCUGGGUCCUGGGUGAGAGGGGUGGUUAGGAAUGCAAACUUGUAGGUCUAGGUAAAUUGGCAGAUGAUGUCUGUUUUCACGAUGGUCUUCAGAUGCCCACGUGGGCACUGCUGAGAAAGCCACUUGGUAAAACUGAUGCCGGAAAUGGGGCUUUUUGGGAUCCCAGCUCAGCUGCUUCUGAGUCCCAGCAUGCCCUGGGUUACCUGUGGCCCUCUUUCCCAUGGGACCUGACCUGUGAUCGGCCCCCGCUCCUAGGCGUGGUGACCAAGAUGAAGAUGCAGAGGACCAUUGUCAUCCGCCGAGACUAUCUGCACUACAUCCGCAAGUACAACCGCUUCGAGAAGCGCCACAAGAACAUGUCUGUACACCUGUCCCCCUGCUUCAGGGACGUCCAGAUCGGUGACAUCGUCACAGUGGGUGAGUGCCGGCCUCUGAGCAAGACAGUGCGCUUCAACGUGCUCAAGGUCACCAAGGCUGCCGGCACCAAGAAGCAGUUCCAGAAGUUCUGAGGCUGGACAUCGGCCCGCUCCCCACAAUGAAAUAAAGUUAUUUUCUCAUUCCCA